rnacentral:misc_RNA from 1 species
AACUUUUUGCAACGUGUCUCGUGGCUCUCGCGUCGAUUAAGAACGCAGCGAAAUGCGAUAAGUAAUGUGAAUUGCAGAAUUCAGUGAAUCAUCGAAUCUUUGAACGCACCUUGCGCCCUUUGGCUAUUCCGAAGGGCAUGCCUGUUUGAGUAUCAUGAACACCUCAACUCUCAUGGCUUGCCAUGAUGGGCUUGGACUUUGGGGGUCUUGCUGGCCUGUGGGUCAGCUCCUCUAAAAUGAAUUAGCUUGCCGGUGUUUGGUGGCAUCACAGGUGUGAUAACUAUCUACGCUUGUGGUUUUCCACCAGGUAACCUUCAGCAAUGGAGGUUCGCUGGAGCUCAUAAAUGUCUCUCCUCGGUGAGGAAAGAUCUUGACCGUUUGAUCUCAAAUCAGGUAGGACUACCCGCUGAACUUAAGCAUAUCAAUAAGCGGAGGCU